rnacentral:rRNA from 1 species
CUCCCGCCGGCGACCGGCGCACGGGUGAGUAACACGUAUGAAACCUGCCCGUAGCAGGGGGAUAAGCGGAAGAAAUUCCGUCUAAUACCGCGUAACAACCCGAGGAGGCAUCUCCUCGGGUUUAAAGGAAGCGAUUCCGGCUACGGAUGGUCAUGCGUCGCAUUAGCUAGUUGGCGGGGUAACGGCCCACCAAGGCGACGAUGCGUAGGGGUUCUGAGAGGAAGGUCCCCCACACUGGUGCUGAGACACGGACCAGACUCCUACGGGAGGCAGCAG